rnacentral:tRNA from 1 species
GCAGGGGUGGCAGAGUCUGGAAUGGCGUCAGCCACGGAAAAUGCGCGGGACUUAAGAUCCCGUGGCCUAGUGCCUUCGAGAGUUCAAAUCUCUCCCCCUGCA